UACGAAGGGGGCUAGCGUUGCUCGGAAUCACUGGGCGUAAAGGGCGCGUAGGCGGCCAUUCAAGUCGGGGGUGAAAGCCUGUGGCUCAACCACAGAAUUGCCUUCGAUACUGUUUGGCUUGAGUAUGGUAGAGGUUGGUGGAACUGCGAGUGUAGAGGUGAAAUUCGUAGAUAUUCGGAAGAACACCAGUGGCGAAGGCGGCUCACUGGACUGGUAUUGACGCUGAGGCACGAAAGCGUGGGGAGCAAACAGG
rnacentral:rRNA from 1 species